UAGAAAGUAGAAAAGGGCGCAUGGCGGAUGCCUUGGCUCACGGAGGCGAUGAAGGACGUGAUAAGCUGCGAUAAGCAUUGGGUAGGUGCAAAUAACCUUUGAUCCAGUGAUUUCCGAAUGGGACAACCCGGCUGUCUGAAGGACAGUCAUUACCAUCUUUUUGGUAAGGCAAACGCAGGGAACUGAAACAUCUUAGUACCUGUAGGAAGAGAAAAUAAUUCAAUGAUUCCCCCAGUAGUGGCGAGCGACCGGGGAACAGCCCAAACCCAUCCCGUAGCAAUGCGGGUUGGGGGUAGUAGGACCGCGCUGUCGUACUUUGAUUGUGAGGAGAAGCUUCUGGAAAGAAGCAUCGUAGAGGGUGAUAAUCCCGUAUCCGUAGCAUGACGAGGCGUAGCGGUAUCCUGAGUAACGCGGAACACGUGAAAUUCUGCGCGAAUCUGCCGGGACCAUCCGGCAAGGCUAAAUACUCCCGUGAGACCGAUAGUGGACGAGUACCGUGAGGGAAAGGUGAAAAGCACCCCGCGAGGGGAGUGAAAUAGUUCCUGAAACCAUGCGCCUACAAGCGGUCGGAGCCGCGCAAGCGGUGACGGCGUGCCUUUUGCAUAAUGAACCUACGAGUUACCAUGUCCGGCAAGGUUUAGCGGUUGA
rnacentral:ncRNA from 1 species